ensembl:lncRNA
CCACAACCCAGCCUCUAUGCUGUUUAUUUAAUAAAGUUUGCCCCCAGAGAGAGCAAGCGGGAAGCUAAGACAAGAGGCAGAUGGCGCCACGCUUCCCUUUGAGGCUGUUCCCUGACUAGAAAGCUAUGAAAUAUUCAAGACUAUUUUGAGAAAUGACCUUUUUAAUUUUUUUUUAUUUUUAAAGACCAUACUCCCUCUCUUCUUGAUGCUUUUUAGAUGAAGGGAAAACACUUAGGAAUGCAGGGCAUGAGUUUGAAGUUUGCAGCUUAUCAAUGCUGUCAGAGAAGAGACUUUCAAUUCUAACGUCCUUCAUAUUCCACAAGAAUUCUGAAUUCCUCUUUGUCAUUUUUGGUUUAGCAAAAUCACCAGUGCACACUCUCUCUGCACACACACACACACACACACACACACCCUGAUUGUUUUUGAUUUAAUAAUCGAAGCAUAGGCCACUGGGGUCCACGGAGGGUCGAGUGCCGUCCUGGCUGUGCAGCUCCCUUGUGACGUGCAGAACAGGCUCACCCAUCCCGGGGAGGUCAGGGAGAAAAGACUCCUCUGCAUUUCUCCUGCUUUCUUUCCUGCCAGGCAGAGUGCCCCACAACGCUGCUGAUGACUCACUGGAGCUGCCUUCCCACCCUUCCAUGUUUUCAAGUAUCUCCCUGCUCACAAUCACAUUCUGGCACUUGCUGGGCCAGCUCUUGGUGAGUUACUCACACUUUCUUCUGUUCUUUGAGUGCACCCAGUGUGUUCCUGUUCUAGGGGUUCACAUGUCCAUUCCCAGGGCCCCAAUCUCUUCUCUCGGAUUUUCCCGGGGCUGAAUGCUUGGCAGCCUCCGGUCUCACUGAGCUAGAAUGCUCCACCUGGUCACGGACACUUUCCGUGACUGCCUGUGCCAGUGAGGGCACCCAGGGCAAACUGAGCUCACACUGGCCAAAGUAAGACAGAGAUUGACUGGUGGCACAGCAGGCCACCCAGAGGCAGGGAAGAUGGCAGGGUGGCAGACCCAGCAGCUGGUAUUUCAUUCUCUCCAUCUCUCUGCAUCCACAGCAUGGCCUUCAUCUCAAGAUUUAUUUCUCCCAUCAGUGUCAACUGUGCUACAAGCCCCUUCAGUCACAUUUAAGAAGAAACAGAGAGACCUUGGCUUCUUGUUCUUCCUUAAGAGUCUUAGGGUAACUGGAGAUGAGAAGCGAGGAUGCUUGUUGGAAAGCCACACUGAAGGACACAUGCCUCUUCCAGAGCCCGAAGCCAGUUCCAGCUCUCAGGUGGGUUCCCUCCCACCCUCUCACCCCUGGACCUCACAUGACAAUGCUUUCUCUCCUACACGAGUGUGCUGUGGAUCCCGAGAGAAAACUGGGGAUGUUGACAGUAGUGUGGUGGCUCCUCAAAAAAAACUAACAAUAGAUCCACCAUGGUCUCCCUUUGUUGGGUACACAUCUGAAGGAAGUGAACUCAGCAUCUGA